rnacentral:rRNA from 1 species
UACAGAGAUGGCACGCGUUGUUCGGAAUUACUGGGCGUAAAGGGCGAGUAGGCGGCCUUCUAAGUCAGACGUGAAAUCCCCCGGCUUAACCUGGGAACUGCGUCUGAUACUGGGAGGCUAGAGUAUGGGAGAGGGAUGUAGAAUUCCAGGUGUAGCGGUGAAAUGCGUAGAUAUCUGGAGGAAUACCGGUGGCGAAGGCGGCAUCCUGGACCAUUACUGACGCUGAAUCGCGAAAGCUAGGGGAGCAAACGGG